ensembl:lncRNA
CUAAAAACAGGUUAACGCAGGGGUUCCCAAACUUUCCCAGGGCAAGGCCCUCCAAAUGGCAUUAACAUUUGACCGAGGCCCCGCUUUUGCAAGAUGUCUUUAAAACAAAUUAAAAAUACAGACUUCUGAAUAUAUCCCCUUUGUUAUUUAUUAAUAAUUACAUCUAACAUCUUUACAUUACAUUGGGAAUUGAUGUUGUGUGUGUGGCUGUCUGAGAGUGAGAAUUUAUUUUUCACCCUAAAUUGUUGAGGCCCCCCGAGCCCCUCCCACUUGCUGACGUCAACGCUGACGCGCACGCCCUUUAAAAGUCUUGUAGCACGUGAUUGUGGUCUUUUCUCCCGCAGGAGCGCUGGAAGUACAAGCAAGGUAUCGCAGUGAAAGUUAGAAGAAGAAGAAGAAGUAGAAGAAGAUCAAGAUACAAGAGAACGUGAGAUGACACCACGUCCCUCCCACAGCUGGACCAGUGCUGCACACCUUCUGGAAGGGAACUUGGGGCAUUACCCUGUACUGCCUCUAGGUUUGAAGAUGGAGGCUGCAGAAGAUGACCUCUUCAACACCAAUCCUGACCUAGAGGAGAAAGGCCUCAAAGACAAGCUUCAAGACUGUAUGCUCCAGGAGCAGAAGAAGCAGAUGAAGUUUAGCAUCGGCAGCAACAAGAUUAUAAUAAUUGUGGUAAUCAUUACUCCAUAUGGAGUGAUAAUUGUGAUUAUAUACAUGCUAUGUGAUAAGUGUUAAGUGAUGUGUCAACCCUUCGCUGUUACUGUAAUAAAGUUGGUGUGACUUUGGACGAUGGAUCUUCGCAGAUCCAUUGUUAUACACCUUUCUAACUUCAGUAACAGUUGAAGAGAAUGUCUAGCAUGUGAAUAAACUGAGACACUGUGACACUGUGACACUGAAAAGGAUAAAGCGGUAGAAGAUGGAUGGAUGUAUAACAAUGUUGUAUGUAAGUUUAGAGACGGUCCCUUAAUUUCCGCAUAUCUGCGAAUAUCCAACGUCAAGCCAACUUUAUACCAGUUUCUCUGUUUCAUGGUUGAAGUGUGG